UCCAGGGCUUCCUACAAUACACGUUUCAAAUUAUAAUGGCGACAGCGUUCAAGUUCAAAAUGGAAACGUCAGUCUUAUUGAAUCAGAAACAAUCAAUGUGACAUGUUUUUCGACAAGUAAACCAAUGCCGACAUAUAAAUGGAUACAUGAGCAAUAUAUGAAAACACAGUCGACAAACGUCUUGAAAUUUGCCAACAUCAGUCGACACGAAAGUGGAACAUAUGCUUGCAACGUUGAAAAUACUAUGAAGAGAUCAAUUGGCAAAACUGAAGUAGGGAAAAGUAACUCACAAAUAAUUCUGAACAUAAUAUAUCCAGCUAUUGUGUAUAAUAUACAUGAUGUAAGUAUUGUUGAGGGAUCACAAUUGGAAACAUUAUGCCCGGUAGUAGAUGGAAAUCCUUCAAACUCUACAGUUACAUGGUCCAGACAAAGUUACGAAAAUCGAUGGAAAACCGACUAUUGUUUAUCAAGAACGUUUCAAGAGCAGACGAUGAAAACUACACAUGUAGUGUAAUAACAGAGAUGCAUCCUACGAUCGGUAGAUCUUCAAAAAUUGAAAGAAGAAAAUCUUUUCAUCUAAAUGUUUUCUUUCCAUCAGAAAUUAACACAUUUACGAUAUCUACCGUAAGCUCCGGUCGGACCUUUGUAGUAAACAGAACUCAAAAUACAUCAUUUGAAUGCAUUGCUGAAGCCAAUCCUACUUCAGAUUUAAAAAUAA